rnacentral:rRNA from 1 species
UACGUAGGGUGCGAGCGUUAAUCGGAAUUACUGGGCGUAAAGCGUGCGCAGGCGGUUCGUUGUGUCGGCGGUGAAAGCCCCGGGCUCAACCUGGGAACUGCGCUUGUGACUGGCGUGCUGGAGUGUGGCAGAGGGAGGUGGAAUUCCACGUGUAGCAGUGAAAUGCGUAGAGAUGUGGAGGAAUACCGAUGGCGAAGGCAGCCCCCUGGGCCAAUACUGACGCUCAUGCACGAAAGCGUGGGGAGCAAACAGG